rnacentral:lncRNA from 1 species
CCAUUUUCUUGGGGCCACCAACCGAGAGUUAAGCUACCUAACAUUUCGAAAACCCAGCCCAUUUCACUCACAGCAGGCAUGGCAGUGGGUGACGGAUCGCAUCCCGCCAGCUGGCUAAUAUCGUAAUUAACAAAGUUGCAACCACAUCGGAGAAGUUUAAUCGAAAAAUUUGCCGGCAGUAUGAUGGCAUUGUCACAGAGAUCACAAGCUAGGCAGACAAGACUUUCAUUCUGGGAGACCGCAAGCUGAGGAAGUCUGAACUUGGCCAGCCUAAGGGGCCCCUGCAAGAGAGUUUCCAGUCUGCAUUUCCAGUCCCCAGUGGCCUAGUCAUGACUGGAGCUGGGCUUACUCUGGAGACUGUGGACCCCAAAGGCCAGGAAAACAGAAGUUUGGAGUAUUUACUCAUAGGAUUGAUUUUUCUAUAUGGAAAACAAAAAUGUGAAAGAGGGAAAGCAUCAUCAGAAGACAUUCACAUGGAGAAAUUCUUUGACAUCACAUGGUUUCCGAUCAAUGGUUUCUACCAGAGCUUCAUUUUGGUUUCUUAAACUAUGCAUGACUUUAAGUUUUUAAUGCAUAUUUAAGUUUGUACAAAGAGAGAAAUGAGGUUGUUUCUAUGAAUGGGGGUGUGAUAUAUAUAUAUCACACCCCCAUUCAUAUAUAUACAUAUAUAUAUAUAUAUAUAUAUAUAUAUAUGCAGUCAUUUUAUCCCCAACAAUUCUGUUAAACUUUGUGAUAGUCACAACCUAGAAAUCUUUGGCUUUUGACCAGAUGAACAUGGAGAGCAGGUACUCUGAUGAAAGACAAGCUGGUUCUCUAUGUAUGCUAAGUCUGAUAUUCCCCUUAUUCUACAGUAUGACUUGAUAUCAAAUAUCAGAUGGGGAAGUUUGGAAGUUUCGGGGACUUCUAUUAAAUUGUUCCAUUAACUCAGUGAAUGGCACAGAUAGAUCUGUGCACGUACAUGACAAGUGUGCAAUUUAAACAUAGGGACUUGAGAUAAGGAGGCAAGAUGGCUAACUGGGAAUGGAUUUUAUGAUCCCCCUCACACUGCUGUGGGUAUAUCACUUUUUGGUAGUAAAUUUGAAACUUAGAUGUACAAAUUAAUUCUCUUUCAUCACUGGGUAACAUUAUUAGAAUUGACUUUAUCUUGUUGUGAUGUCCUUGGCUCACCUGGAAGGUGAAAUUGGUUACAUGGAUUAUUAUUCCAAUCAGUUCCAUAGGGUCUCUGAGGUUUUUUGGUGGGGAGUAGCAUUUUGAGAUAACUAUCAUUUUGCUACAAGUUACCCAUUGUUUAGGGACAAGGUAGGGAACAGGAUAGAUUGACUUUCUCUGGCUAGGGGAAAACAGAUUUGAAACAAGGGCAGAGGAUUGACAAAUGCUAUAUACAAGUCAUCUCUUUAGCCCUCUCCUUUUCUAAGAUUUUUUUUUUUCUUUAUAGUGGGUGAUUAAGGCAUUCGACAGAGGCAGAGAUAGGGGUGAUUGCAUCUAAAAUUAAACACUUUGAGGACAAGAGAGCAUUUGUUAUUUGUCCUUGAAUAAUCCCCAGUGCCUAAAACUAUAUAUUGCAACAACCUGGUGAUUUAUGAAUGAAUGAUUAAAUGGAUGAUGAAAUAAUUUAAUCUAAUGAAUGAACAAACAAAUGUAAUAUUUUGAAAUCUUAAUAAGGGGAUUAUGUCUUGUGUCACAACCCAUAGUUUUCAGAGUAUUCAGAGUAUAGAAAUAAAAACAGUGGAUGGUGGUGAUUUAUGCA